AUGAUGUAUGAGGCGUACGAUAUCAACGGCUACACAUUCUACACCGAGGGAAAGGACAUGAAGAGCGAUGGUUAUCAGAACUUCGGGGUAACGAUGGAAUCCUACACCGGUAACGACAAGGACAGAUACUAUGGAAGGAUCGAGGAGAUCUGGGAGCUGAGCUACGCUGGACAGAAGGUCCCGAUGUUCUGUGUCAGAUGGGCCAAGAGCGUCAUAAAAGAAGACCGGUAUUUCACCACCAUGGUUAUACCCGAAGCCAAAUCCAAGACCGCAGGCGCAAACGUCACCGCGAAAAAUGAGCCAUGGGUACUGGCUUCCCAAGUGGACCAAUGCUUCUUCAUUACCUACCCGUCAAAGCCCAGUCGUCUUGUCGUGAGGAGAGGCAAAAGGAAGAUCAUCGGAAUGGAUCGAGUCGCCAAUGAGCAAGACUUCGACAAGUACGGUGACCCGAAGAUGGAACAUGACGACGACGAUGAAGUACCAGCAUACACCACAAGAAGCAGGACCACCCUACCUAAAGGACGUCCGUUCAAGAGAAGAACUCCAAUUACGAAAAAUAAGGGCAAGAAGAUUGUGAACAGAUAG
rnacentral:rRNA from 1 species